rnacentral:tRNA from 1 species
GCCUCUGUGGUGCAAUUGGCUAGCGCGUUCGGCUGUUAACCAGAAGACUGGUGGUUCGAUCCCACCCAGGGUG